GCACUUUCCACUUUAUAAUCUUAUUUUUUGUUAAUCUCGUUUCCUUGUUCUAGUGAAAAAUUUUUUUAUAUUUUUCGUGCCUGACAUGGUGGGGGCGGUUCGAUAAGUAUUUGUUCAAAGAAAGUACAGCUAACUCUGCGAUGUGGGGUACUUAGAUGAGAAAACCGAGAUGCACUGAGGUUAAGUGACAAGACGAAGGUCCUCUAGCUAAUGACUCAGCUUAUUCUAUAGCCUCAAUCCCUUUCCCAACCACCAGACUGCCUUCUACUCUGAGCUGUCUAAGUCCUCUUCUUCUGUCCAUCAUGUCACUGGCUGAUGCGGAAGGGUUUGGGCUCGUCAUCAGAACUGGGAUAAAGGAUCCUAGCUGAGCCAUUCCUGAUGCUCCGAUUAAUGCACGCCUCAACAAACAUGCCACCAUCCAGAGGCCACCUGAAAGGAUGUUGAAACUGCAAGCACCACGAAUGACCUCUUUGGAGCUGGCAGAACUAUUUGGGAUAAUCCCAACUUAUUUAGACCGCAGAGAUUUCUAAACGAAAACAGGAAAUGAAAGUCUUGAGGACGAAAUGUUGAUAUUUGGAACGGGGCUCUGGAAAUGUCUAGGGGAAGAUAUUGCAUAAAACGAGAUAUGCAUUUUCAUCACUCCAAUGGCUCGAGCUGAAGAAA
rnacentral:lncRNA from 1 species